UAUUGAAAUAAACCUGAUAGGUUGUUGCUGGUUCUCUCGAGAGCAUGUGCACACUUGUCAUCUUUAUAUCUCCACCUGUGCACCUUUUGUAAAUCUGAAUAUCUUUCUGAAUGCAAUCGCAUUCAGGUUUGAGGAUUGCAUUUUUUUCUUUCCUUACAUUUUCAGGUUUAUGUUUUUCAUAAACCCCCAAGUAUGUUAUAGAAUGUUAUAAAUCGGCCUUUGUGCCUAUAAAUCAUAUACAACUUUCAGCAACGGAUCUCUUGGCUCUCGCAUCGAUGAAGAACGCAGCGAAAUGCGAUAAGUAAUGUGAAUUGCAGAAUUCAGUGAAUCAUCGAAUCUUUGAACGCACCUUGCGCUCCUUGGUAUUCCGAGGAGCAUGCCUGUUUGAGUGUCAUUAAUAUAUAUCAGCCUCUUCAGCUUUUUGCAUGUAGAGUUGUUGGAUGUGGGGGUUAUUUUUUGCUGGACUUCUUGAGAAAUCUGAGUUCAGCUCCCCUAAAAUACAUUAGCGAAACAAUUUGUUUACUGCUCAUUGGUGUGAUAACUAUCUACGCUAUUGACAAGGGGGCAUGUUUAGCUUCUAACAGUCCAUUUAACUUGGACAAUUUCUUAUUAAUGUG
rnacentral:misc_RNA from 1 species